rnacentral:rRNA from 1 species
UACGUAGGGGGCGAGCGUUGUCCGGAUUUACUGGGCGUAAAGCGCGUGUAGGCGGCCCGUUAAGUGGGGUGUGAAAGCCCGGGGCUCAACCCCGGGACGCCGCUCCAAACUGGCGGGCUUGAGGACGGAAGAGGGGAGUGGAACUGCGAGUGUAGAGGUGAAAUUCGUAGAUAUUCGCAAGAACACCAGUGGCGAAAGGCGGCUCACUGGCCCGAUACUGACGCUGAGGCACGAAAGCGUGGGGAGCAAACAGGAUUAGAAACCCCCGGU